rnacentral:rRNA from 1 species
GAUGAACGCUGGCGGCGUGCCUAAUACAUGCCAGUCGAGCGAACAGACGAGGAGCUUGCUCCUCUGACGUUAGCGGCGGACGGGUGAGUAACACGUGGAUAACCUACCUAUAAGACUGGGAUAACUUCGGGAAGCCGGAGCUAAUACCGGAUAAUAUCUUGAACCGCAUGGUUCAAUAGUGAAAGACGGUUUUGCUGUCACUUAUAGAUGGAUCCGCGCCGCAUUAGCUAGUUGGUAAGGUAACGGCUUACCAAGGCGACGAUGCGUAGCCGACCUGAGAGGGUGAUCGGCCACACUGGAAGUGAGACACGGUCCAGACUCCUACGGGAGGCAGCAGUAGGGAAUCUUCCGCAAUGGGCGAAAGCCUGACGGAGCAACGCCGCGUGAGUGAUGAAGGUCUUCGGAUCGUAAAACUCUGUUAUUAGGGAAGAACAAAUGUGUAAGUAACUAUGCACGUCUUGACGGUACCUAAUCAGAAAGCCACGGCUAACUACGUG